rnacentral:rRNA from 1 species
AUACGGAAGGUCCGGGCGUUAUCCGGAUUUAUUGGGUUUAAAGGGAGCGCAGGCGGAGAUGCAAGCGUGACGUCAAAUUUCGGGGCUCAACCCCGUCUCGCGUCGCGAACUGCGUCCCUUGGUUGCGGGAAGGGGUGGCGGAACUCGUGGUGUAGCGGGGAAAUGCAUAGAGAUCACGAAGAAAUCCGAUCGCGAAGGCAGCCUUCCUGCAAGUGAAGCAGGGUCAUGAUAGAAGGGGCGGGUAUCAAACAGGAAUAGAUUCCCUGGUAGUCCGCACGGUAAACGAUGAUUACCCGCGGUCGGCGGUAGACAGUCGGCGGCCAAGCGAAAGCGAUAAGUAAUCCACCUGGGGAGUACGCCGGCAACGGUGAAACUCAAAGGAAUUGACGGGG